GACGAACGCUGGCGGCGUGCCUAAUACAUGCAAGUCGAGCGCAGGAAGCCGUCUGAACCCUUCGGGGGGACGACGGUGGAAUGAGCGGCGGACGGGUGAGUAACACGUAAAGAACCUGCCCAUAGGUCUGGGAUAACCACGAGAAAUCGGGGCUAAUACCGGAUGUGUCAUCGGACCGCAUGGUCCGCUGAUGAAAGGCGCUCCGGCGUCGCCCAUGGAUGGCUUUGCGGUGCAUUAGCUAGUUGGUGGGGUAACGGCCCACCAAGGCGACGAUGCAUAGCCGACCUGAGAGGGUGAUCGGCCACACUGGGACGGAGACACGGCCCAGACUCCUACGGGAGGCAGCAGUAGGGAAUCUUCCACAAUGGACGAAAGUCUGAUGGAGCAACGCCGCGUGAACGAUGAAGGCUUUCGGGUCGUAAAGCUCUGUUGUAAGGGAAGAACAAGUGCCGCAGGCAAUGGCGGCACCUUGACGGUACCUUGCGAGAAAGCCACGGCUAACUACGUGCCAGCAGCCGCAGUAA
rnacentral:rRNA from 1 species